GAUGAACGCUGGCGGCGUGCCUAAUACAUGCAAGUCGAGCGAACAGAUGAGGAGCUUGCUCCUCUGACGUUAGCGGCGGACGGGUGAGUAACACGUGGAUAACCUACCUAUAAGACUGGGAUAACUUCGGGAAACCGGAGCUAAUACCGGAUAAUAUAUUGAACCGCAUGGUUCAAUAGUGAAAGACGGUUUUGCUGUCACUUAUAGAUGGAUCCGCGCCGCAUUAGCUAGUUGGUAAGGUAACGGCUUACCAAGGCAACGAUGCGUAGCCGACCUGAGAGGGUGAUCGGCCACGCUGGAACUGAGACACGGUCCAGACUCCUACGGGAGGCAGCAGUAGGGAAUCUUCCGCAAUGGGCGAAAGCCUGACGGAGCAACGCCGCGUGAGUGAUGAAGGUCUUCGGAUCGUAAAACUCUGUUAUUAGGGAAGAACAAAUGUGUAAGUAACUAUGCACGUCUUGACGGUACCGAAUCAGAAAGCCACGGCUAACUACGU
rnacentral:rRNA from 1 species